GUUGCUUCGUUUGAUAAUGGGGUAGCUGGUUUCAAUCGUUGGUUACUCUUAAUGAGAAGCAUAGAAUUAUGGGAAUUUGCCAGUUCUAAACAGCAUGAUGUUGUUUAUCUAUUGCAUUGUGUUACCUGUCUGCUGGUAUAUUU
rfam:Gossypium hirsutum cultivar TM-1 chromosome 9, whole genome shotgun sequence